GACAAGUAUUAGCUUUUGAUUUAUACAAAAAAGGUCAAAAUCAGUGCACCCAGUAAAAAGUUAUGAGGUAUAAUACAACGUAAGGUGACGAAAAUAAUGUCAAGUAAAUACGCGUUAUCAAAGAUUAAUCAAAAAGUAGUUAUCAGAUCUCGAUAAAAUUUAUAUGUGACCACAUGAUAAACAUCAGCUUUCGAUUAAAGUAAAAAUUAUCAAAAUCAAUACACCCAGUAAAAAGUUAUUGCGGAUUUUCAAGAGUUUCUCUCGAUUUCUCUGGGAUCCCAUCAUCAGAU
rnacentral:misc_RNA from 1 species